rnacentral:lncRNA from 1 species
UGCCGUUCUAGUACUUGUUUUGUUUGAUUUUCUUGAUUGUCUGGUGCGUAGUUAGUUUACCUCCGUUCGAACUGAUCCUUGGUUCUGUUUCUCCUUUUUAUGGAACAGAGAUGCCAUGUGAAGAACAUACCUAUAACUGGGAGUUGCUGUGGAUGGUGUGUACAUGUGUCAGUGGUAAGCUAUGGCGGGCAAAUCAAGGAUGAGCUGAGAUGCAUUUCUUGGGCACCAUUAGUACCGAACGCCCUUCCGUCCUAAUGCAUCACCUGGUCCAUCUUUUAUCCUUCAGGCUUAAGUAAAGGACAGCACAUUGGGUUGGUUAGUUUAAACUAAAUCGUCCUUUAUCAUCUAUAGCUUCCGUCCUCAGAAAGGUCGCAAGCUCAUCUGCAACAGCAAUCGCGCGUUGCUCUGGUAGAGACUUCUUCCUCAUGGCCGUGUACUAUAUAAGAAGAGGAGAUGAAUAUGAAUAUCAAUCAUGAUAACAAAGAAUGACGGGUAAAAAUAGAGGUGUGAAU